GAUGAACGCUGGCGGCGUGCCUAAUACAUGCAAGUCGAGCGAACGGACGCGAAUCUUGCUUCUCUCAUGUUAGCGGCGGGCGUGUGAAUAACACGUGGAUACCCUACCUAUCAGACUGAUAUGACUUCGGGAAUCCGGCUCUAAUACCGUAUGAUAUUUUGAACCGCAUUGUUCAUAGGUGAAAGACGGCCUUGCGGUCACUUCUCGCUGGAUCCGCGCUGCAUUAGCUAGUUGUUAAGGUAACGGCUUACCAAGGCAACGAUGCAUAACCGAGCUGAGAGGGUGAUAGGCCACACGGGAACUGAGACACGGUCAAGACUCCUAAGAGAGGCAGCAGUAGGGAAUCUGCCGCAAUGGGCGAAAGCAUGACGGAGCAAGGCCGCGUGAGUGAUGAAGGUCUUCGGAGCGUAAAAAUCUGUUAUUAGGGAAGAACAUAUGUGUAAGUAACUGUGCAGAGCGUGACGGUACCUAAUCAGAAAGCCACGGCUAACUACGUG
rnacentral:rRNA from 1 species